UUUAAACUAGGAAUAGAUACCCUAUUAUUUUUAUUAAAAAUUAUUUGAUUUAAAUAUUAAAUGUUAAGCAUUAAAGAUAAAAAAUUUGGCGGUACUUGAUAUUUAGAGGAACUUGUUUAUUAAAUUGAUAAUCCACGAAUGGAGGAACUUAUUUAAAAAAAUUUUUUUAUGUAUUGUUGUUGAAAAAUUAUAUUAAUAGGUAUUAAUUAAGAAAUUUAAUUAAAUUAUAAUUCAAAUCAAAAUGUAGAAUAUUUAAGAGGUUAAUGAGUUACAAUUAAUUAAAAUACUGGACUUUAAGAAAGAUAAUUUAAUUUAUAAAUGAAAGUGGAUUUAAAAGUAAAUUUAUAAAAAUUAUAAAUGAA
rnacentral:rRNA from 1 species